GCCUAACACAUGCAAGUCGAGCGGAAACGAUGGUAGCUUGCUACCAGGCGUCGAGCGGCGGACGGGUGAGUAACGCGUGAGAAUCUGCCCAUUUGUGGGGGAUAACUCGGGGAAACUCGAGCUAAUACCGCAUAAUCCCUACGGGGGAAAGCAGGGGACCUUCGGGCCUUGUGCAGAUGGAUGAGCUCGCGUCGGAUUAGCUUGUUGGUGAGGUAAAGGCUCACCAAGGCGACGAUCCGUAGCUG
rnacentral:rRNA from 1 species